AGCUAACGCGUUAAAUCGACCGCCUGGGGAGUACGGCCGCAAGGUUAAAACUCAAAUGAAUUGACGGGGGCCCGCACAAGCGGUGGAGCAUGUGGUUUAAUUCGAUGCAACGCGAAGAACCUUACCUGGUCUUGACAUCCACAGAACUUGGCAGAGAUGCCUUGGUGCCUUCGGGAACUGUGAGACAGGUGCUGCAUGGCUGUCGUCAGCUCGUGUUGUGAAAUGUUGGGUUAAGUCCCGCAACGAGCGCAACCCUUAUCCUUUGUUGCCAGCGGUCCGGCCGGGAACUCAAAGGAGACUGCCAGUGAUAAACUGGAGGAAGGUGGGGAUGACGUCAAGUCAUCAUGGCCCUUACGACCAGGGCUACACACGUGCUACAAUGGCGCAUACAAAGAGAAGCGACCUCGCGAGAGCAAGCGGACCUCAUAAAGUGCGUCGUAGUCCGGAUUGGAGUCUGCAACUCGACUCCAUGAAGUCGGAAUCGCUAGUAAUCGUGGAUCAGAAUGCCACGGUGAAUACGUUCCCGGGCCUUGUACACACCGCCCGUCACACCAUGGGAGUGGGUUGCAAAAGAAGUAGGUAGCUUAACCUUCGGGAGGGCGCUUACCACUUUGUGAUUCAUGACUGGGGUGAAGUCGAAAGGGGGGGCC
rnacentral:rRNA from 1 species